rnacentral:lncRNA from 1 species
UCCCAUACUCACAUUAUAUGUACAGGUGUAAUUUGAUGAUUUAGCCGAUAAAUUUAAUUACUUUUUGAGUUUAUGAGAAAUUUGAAUAUCUUUUUAUUUUGACUAAAGCUUCGAAUGGUAACCAGAUUCCCACCUCACCCCGCAGUUAACAGUAACAAAAAUAUAUAUAUAUAUAUAUAUUCUAUAUCUAUAUAUUUUUAUAACUAUUAGAACCGCACCGCAAUUAAACCGC